rnacentral:rRNA from 1 species
GAUGAACGCUGGCGGCGUGCUUAACACGUGCAAGUCGAACGAUGAAGGAGGAGCUUGCUCCUCUGGAUUAGUGGCGAACGGGUGAGUAACACGUGAGCAAUCUGCCCCUGACUCUGGGAUAAGCGCUGGAAACGGCGUCUAAUACCGGAUACGAGCCGAGCAGGCAUCUGCAUCGGUUGGAAAGAACUUCGGUCAGGGAUGAGCUCGCGGCCUAUCAGCUAGUUGGUGAGGUAACGGCUCACCAAGGCGACGACGGGUAGCCGGCCUGAGAGGGUGACCGGCCACACUGGGACUGAGACACGGCCCAGACUCCGACGGGAGGCAGCAGUGGGGAAUAUUGCACAAUGGGCGAAAGCCUGAUGCAGCAACGCCGCGUGAGGGACGAAGGCCUUCGGGUUGUAAACCUCUUUUAGCAGGGAAGAAGCGAGAGUGACGGUACCUGCAGAAAAAGCACCGGCUAACUACGUGCCAGCCGCCGCAGUAA